AAGCGUUAAUCGGAAUUACUGGGCGUAAAGCGUGCGCAGGCGGCUUUGCAAGACAGAUGUGAAAUCCCCGGGCUUAACCUGGGAACUGCAUUUGUGACUGCAAAGCUAGAGUACGGCAGAGGGGGAUGGAAUUCCGCGUGUAGCAGUGAAAUGCGUAGAUAUGCGGAGGAACACCGAUGGCGAAGGCAAUCCCCUGGGCCUGUACUGACGCUCAUGCACGAAAGCGUGGGGAGCAAACAGG
rnacentral:rRNA from 1 species